rnacentral:rRNA from 1 species
CCCCGGUAAACGGCGGCCGUAACUAUAACGGUCCUAAGGUAGCGAAAUUCCUUGUCGGGUAAGUUCCGACCUGCACGAAUGGCGUAAUGAUGGCCAGGCUGUCUCCACCCGAGACUCAGUGAAAUUGAACUCGCUGUGAAGAUGCAGUGUACCCGCGGCAAGACGGAAAGACCCCGUGAACCUUUACUAUAGCUUGACACUGAACAUUGAGCCUUGAUGUGUAGGAUAGGUGGGAGGCUUUGAAGUGUGGACGCCAGUCUGCAUGGAGCCGACCUUGAAAUACCACCCUUUAAUGUUUGAUGUUCUAACGUGGACCCGUAAUCCGGGUUGCGGACAGUGUCUGGUGGGUAGUUUGACUGGGGCGGUCUCCUCCUAAAGAGUAACGGAGGAGCACGAAGGUUGGCUAAUCCUGGUCGGACAUCAGGAGGUUAGUGCAAUGGCAUAAGCCAGCUUGACUGCGAGCGUGACGGCGCGAGCAGGUGCGAAAGCAGGUCAUAGUGAUCCGGUGGUUCUGAAUGGAAGGGCCAUCGCUCAACGGAUAAAAGGUACUCCGGGGAUAACAGGCUGAUACCGCCCAAGAGUUCAUAUCGACGGCGGUGUUUGGCACCUCGAUGUCGGCUCAUCACAUCCUGGGGCUGAAGUAGGUCCCAAGGGUAUGGCUGUUCGCCAUUUAAAGUGGUACGCGAGCUGGGUUUAGAACGUCGUGAGACAGUUCGGUCCCUAUCUGCCGUGGGCGCUGGAGAACUGAGGGGGGCUGCUCCUAGUACGAGAGGACCGGAGUGGACGCAUCACUGGUGUUCGGGUUGUCAUGCCAAUGGCACUGCCCGGUAGCUAAAUGCGGAAGAGAUAAGUGCUGAAAGCAUCUAAGCACGAAACUUGC